UGCAUCUUGGGACAAUUCACCGAGAUAAAGUAGAGCUUUUCAGGCCGGAGCCUGGUAUCGAUGGGGUCUCGCGCGUUGCUCGUCGAACCUUGGGCAGUUGGUUUACUUUGUAAUCGUUGUCUGUUCCCACUUUUCCGAAGCAGUGAAUGCUAAAACGAUAUCGUCGAGCUGCGAGAUUCUGACGAGAAUGUCGUACUCUUAAUGAUUACAUCCCGUAAGAGUGAUUCUUGACCGGGAUGUGAAAGGGGAAGGCUGGCGGAGGGCAGAAUACAGUUGGUGUUCACGGAAUACCCAUCCAUAACAUGGCACAACUCUUCCACGAAGACAAGAAUAGGGUGGUUAUGUGGGUCCCAGAUGAAGCAGCCAUCGUCCAGGUAUCCUUCUGGCAACCUGCCUAUUGCGGGCUGCUUCAUCUCAUCUGCUUUUCUAGGGGCCUUUCCGUCGGACUCAGUCGGACCCAAAUCUUUAGAGCCUGAGUUCAUAAAGACAACUUGAGCAAAUGAGAAUUGAAAUAGCUGUUGUUGUCUGUCAGGUUCAAGUAAACUACCACUGCUAGAAUUUCUUGAGUACAAUGCUACCCUAGCAAAUUGCAACACCUCCAGACAACCUCUCAAAAAAUAAAAUUUAUAACCCCUAGUUACAUGGGAAUACCAACGACAUCUAGUGGAUAUCCUCGUGUUACAAAUCGAGCCCCACUCUGUCUGUCUCUUUUCAGUCUAGCGCCUUGUGCCACCCACGAAACUCUGUUAUCACC
rnacentral:sRNA from 1 species